rnacentral:rRNA from 1 species
UACGAGGGGUGCGAGCGUUAUUCGGAAUUAUUGGGUGUACAGGGUGUGUAGACGGUAUAUUAAGUCUGUUGUUAAAUGCCUCGGCCUAACUGAGGAUAUGCGAUGGAAACUAAUAAACUAGAGGGUGAGAGAGAGAAGUGGAAUUCUCGGAGUAGCGGUAAAAUGCGUAGAUCUCGAGAGGAACACCAAUGGCGAAGGCAGCUUCUUGGCUCAUACCUGACGUUGAGACACGAAAGCGUGGGGAGCAAACAGG